rnacentral:rRNA from 1 species
UAAGCAAUUAUACGGCGAAACUGCGAAUGGCUCAUUAAAUCAGUUAUCGUUUAUUUGAUAGCCCCUUACUACUUGGAUAACCGUGGUAAUUCUAGAGCUAAUACAUGCUGAAAACCCCGACUUCGGAAGGGAUGUAUUUAUUAGAUUAAAAACCAAUGCCCCUCGGGGCUCACUGGUGAUUCAUGAUAACUUCUCGAAUCGCACGGCCUUGCGCCGGCGAUGGCUCAUUCAAAUUUCUGCCCUAUCAACUUUCGACGGCUGGAUCUGGGCCCGCCAUGGUGACAACGGGUAACGGAGGGUUAGGGCUCGGCCCCGGAGAAGGAGCCUGAGAAACGGCUACUACAUCCAAGGAAGGCAGCAGGCGCGCAAAUUACCCAAUCCCGACUCGGGGAGGUAGUGACAAUAAAUACUGAUACAGGGCUCUUUUGGGUCUUGUAAUUGGAAUGAGUACAAUUUAAUUCCCUUAACGAGGAACAAUUGGAGGGCAAGUCUGGUGCCAGCAGCCGCGGUAAUUCCAGCUCCAAUAGCGUAUAUUAAAGUUGUUGCAGUUAAAAAGCUCGUAGUUGAACCUUGGGCCUGGCUGGCCGGUCCGCCUCACCGCGUGCACUGGUCCGGCCGGGUCUUUCCCUCUGGGGAGCCGCAUGCCCUUCACUGGGCGUGUCGGGGAACCAGGACAUUUACUUUGAAAAAAUUAGAGUGUUCAAAGCAGGCUUAUGCUCGAAUACAUUAGCAUGGAAUAAUAGAAUAGGACGCGCGGUUCUAUUUUGUUGGUUUCUAGGACCGCCGUAAUGAUUAAUAGGGACAGUCGGGGGCAUCAGUAUUCAAUAGUCAGAGGUGAAAUUCUUGGAUCUAUUGAAGACUAACUACUGCGAAAGCAUUUGCCAAGGAUGUUUUCAUUAAUCAGGAACGAAAGUUAGGGGAUCGAAGACGAUCAGAUACCGUCGUAGUCUUAACCAUAAACUAUGCCGACUAGGGAUCGGACGAUGUUAUUUUUUGACUCGUUCGGCACC